UGGCCUUUAUGUCCUGGGCUACACACACGCUACAAUGGCCAACACAAUAGGUUGCUAAGCCGCGAGGUGGAGCCAAUCCUCAAAGUUGGUCUCAGUUCAGAUUGCAGGCUGCAACCCGCCUGCAUGAAGAUGGAGUUGCUAGUAACCGCAGGUCAGCUAUACUGCGGUGAAUACGUUCCCGGGGCUU
rnacentral:rRNA from 1 species